rnacentral:lncRNA from 1 species
GUAACAUGGAUGUUGUGGAGGUUAGGACUAGUAACAGGGAUGUUGUGGAGGUUAGGACUAGUAACAGGGAUGUUGUGGAGGUUAGGACUAGUAACAGGGAUGUUGUGGAGGUUAGGACUAGUAACAGGGAUGUUGUGGAGGUUAGGACUAGUAACAGGGAUGUUGUGGAGGUUAGGACUAGUAACAGGGAUGUUGUGGAGGUUAGGACUAGUAACAGGGAUGUUGUAGUGUUUGUGGAGGUUAGGACUAGUAACAGGGUUAAUGAGCCAUGGUGGUGUUGAUGUUGUCUCUAUGGAAGUGCUGCCCUGGAAGUGCAAGGUAGUCAUCCAGUGUUGUAGACCCAGCCGUGCAUUUCUCUCUCUGUCUGUGUCUCUCUCUCGUUCUUUGUCGCUCUCUCUCGCUCGCUCAAUCACUACUCCUCCUCUCUCUCUCCCCUUCAUCUCUCUCUUCAUCUGUCUCUCGGUCUUUCCCUCCAUCUCUCUCUCUGUGUUAGUGAUUACAUCACUCACUCACUCUCUCUCUCUCUCUCUCUCUCUCUGUCUCUCUCUCUCUCUCUCACCCUCUCUGUCUCUCUCUCUCUUGCAUAACCGCCAGCUUUGUUUGCUCCAGCUGAGGACUAAUCUUUCCCGCGAGACAGACUGAAGGAACAAGGGAGAGGAGGAGAGCAGGACAAGCCAACCUUUAUAACCUGACUGGACGCUCUGCCUCGUUAAUUCAAUCAGUCCACCAAUUAAUGGGCUUUAGAGCAGAGCCCUGUUUACAACCACCGUGACCUGUGUGUUUAUGGAGCGGUGUUUUUAAUCUGUGUGUGUGUGUGUGUGUGUGUGUGUGUGUGUGUGUGUGUGGAGAGCAGGCGCAUGGUACUCCCCAUGGUAGCCCAGUCGUACUGAAGGAUAAACAGUGAUUAUCUGGGCUGCCUGGAGAGAGACACAUGCUUAUGUACCACUCUCAGACAGACCACACAUACAUGUGAGGGACACGGUAGCCAAGACAACGCUCUAGCUGCAGUCAGAGGAGAAUAACACAUAAACAAAGACACGCAGAAUCACGUUCAGUCAAGUGUGACUUGUCCUGCCUUUCAUACACGCGUCCACACAGAUACACACACACACAAUGCCGCUGGCGGCGUCUGUGAGGUGAGUGCGAGGCGAAUGUUACGUAAGAAAGAUCAAAGCUACUUAAUCAGCUUUGAGAGAGAUGGGGGAGGAAUGGACAGAGGAGGGAUAGCGGGAAAAUAAAGAAUGGGGAGAGAGAGGGAUAGCAGAGAACAGAGGGUAGAGAAAGUGGUGACAGGCGGUGACACUGCGCGUGUCCUCGUUCCCUGUUUACGAUGGGAUAAUCUCACACACACACACACACAAACACACAAGCUGUGCUCUGUCCUCCGUGUCCCCCUCACAGCCCACUGUGACAUGCUGUUGCCAAUGCCACGAUAGCGUGUGUGUGUGUGGUGUGUGUGUGUGUGUGUGUGUGUGUGUGGUGUCUGUCUCUUCUUUUCCUAUAUGCCUAUUCCAUAUCUCUUUCUCUCCCCCUCCCUCUCUUUGUAAACCCUUUCUUUGCUUACCCUUUACCUCCUCCCUCUCUUCUCUCUCGCCCACUACGUCUCUCUUACAGGAAUUGUUAGCAGAUGUGGACAGAGCUUUUUCCUUCAUCUAAAAUUAGCCCCAAUAGAAGAAUGGCAG